rnacentral:lncRNA from 1 species
AGAGAGGUUAGAGGACCGGAUGUCGCCAUAACCGUGUGAUUGUCCCCAGUGUUGUGUCCAAUUUAUAACUCGGGCCGCUAAGUGAGUCAAUACGAACUCUGAGCUUGAGCGUUGCUGAGGAUCUCUUCCAGUGCUUGGAAAUGACGUAAAGGCUUUCUUGGAGCAUCAUUUGGACAAAUUAAGUCAAAUUACCAAAAGCACCUGCUGGGCUCCUGUAAGAUGAUAUCAUGAGUUCUAAAGGAAAGUAUGUAGACUUGGACAGACUCAGCUCCACAGCAAAUAACGUUUGAAGGAAAGUUUCAAGAGCGCCUAUAAUUGUACCUUCCUGAAAACAGAAGGUUCUGAAAUCUCCCACAAAACACCUGAUAAAUUUGGGCAUUAUAUUUAGGGAAAACAUUUUGAAGUAUGCAGCAGUGGAAACAACAAAGGACUUAAUGUCAAAAGACCUGCUUCAAGCCUGGUUGAAAUAAUCUUGCUUAUACACUUGGGGACGCUUAUGGAAGUGUUGGGGAGGGUCGAGGACUCCAAAGGGGAUAGGAACUCCACAGGAAGACCAACGGAGCCAACUAACCUGGAGCCCUGGGAGCUCUUAGAGACUGAUCCACCAAACAAAGAGCAUACACGGGCUGCAACAAGGCCCCAGGCACGCAGCUCAGUCUC